rnacentral:rRNA from 1 species
GACGAACGCUGGCGGCGUGCCUAAUACAUGCAAGUCGAGCGGACCUCUUCGGAGGUCAGCGGCGGACGGGUGAGUAACACGUGGGCAACCUGCCUGUAAGACUGGGAUAACACCGGGAAACCGGUGCUAAUACCGGAUAAUCCUUUUCCUCACAUGAGGGGAAGCUGAAAGACGGCAUCUCGCUGUCACUUACAGAUGGGCCCGCGGCGCAUUAGCUAGUUGGUGGGGUAACGGCCCACCAAGGCGACGAUGCGCAGCCGACCUGAGAGGGUGAUCGGCCACACUGGGACUGAGACACGGCCCAGACUCCUACGGGAGGCAGCAGUAGGGAAUCUUCCGCAAUGGACGAAAGUCUGACGGAGCAACGCCGCGUGAGCGAAGAAGGCCUUCGGGUCGUAAAGCUCUGUUGUCAGGGAAGAACACGUACCGGAGUAACUGCCGGUACCUUGACGGUACCUGACCAGAAAGCCACGGCUAACUACGUGCCAGCCGCCGCCGUAAGAC